CAACCCUUAAGCCUAGCUUAGUGUUGGGAGCCUACUAGUAAUGGUAGUUCCCCAAAUACAACGGCGGAUCUGUGGUAUCCUCUGAGCGUAGUAAUUUUUAUCUCGCUUUUGUUAGGUGCUGCAGCGUCUCAGCCGCUAAACCCCCAAUUUUUAAU
rnacentral:misc_RNA from 2 species